GCACAUUCUGCAGCUGCAGUGGAGAUUUAAAACUUUGGGCUUUAUUGCACAGCUGUAACUGGAGAAACAGAGGUCUGGAUUUUCCAGCUCAACCAGAGACAGCAGGAAGCCAGAAGCAGGAGAGGGUUUUAAAAGUUCCAUUUACCCAGAGUUCAGUGCACUGAUGCCUGUUAGAGGCCAGUGAACUGGGAACAGUUUGUACUGCCAGGUACUGUGGACAUUAGCCUGCCGUGCCAGGAGAGCAUGGCAUGUGUGACUGCAAGUUACUGCAGCAGAAUGACUAUUGAGCACGGGAAGUGCUAGGACCUUUUAUGUUUGUUGCUUUAUUUUCUGUAUGUACAUGUGUGACCAGGCCCAAACCUGAGUAUGCUGUUCUACAGUGUCUUAUGCCAGUAAAGACACAGUGUUGUAACUAGAAAACCUGCCUGAGAGUUCUUAUUUCAAGUACUCAUUUUACAUUUGGUGGCCUGUACAAGGAAAAUUUGCGCUACUGAGUCACCGCGCAAAAGCCAGACGACUCCAGCAUGGCCAAAGGAUUUAAAGGCAAAAUACUGGUUGUGUGAGUAAUGGUUUGCAGGCCAAAAUAACCAUAAUUAUAUUAAAUCUGAGUUGCAUUAUGAUAAGUUACCACUGUGAAGUUUAAACAGUUGCUAUUUUAGUUUUUUCAUAAGUUCAAAUGCUGUCUGCUAUUCAAAAGAUAGGUUUGGCUGCUGUGUAAUCAAAGACACCUGAAGUUGACAGAGCAGGUCACACACAUUCAGGUGCCGGCAAAGAACAGAAGAGGACCGAUCUACACUGGAUUAUCAGGAAAUCGGGACAUCUCAAUUAUCCUAGCUAAGUGAACAGAGUGGUAAAGUUGAAGACUCCCUUCAGUAGACUAGCCGGAACCAGCUGUAUAUCUUCACGGCUGGAGUAACUUGUGCCUGCGCUUGGUAGUUCCCGACUGCUUGAUAAUUAUGGAGUUAGCUGCCGCAGUGCUGCCGUACACAUAUCUAAACCGAGGACGCUCGGGUGGAUCAUCUCCUCAUACCGCAAACGGAUCCCGGACAGCAGGGAUAGACGUGGCCCUUCUCCACAAAUCUUUAACUCCCUUCAGUACGGCUACGUAUCAGGAUCAACUGAGCUAACCGAUGACCCAUCCCACCCCAAAGUGGCCCACUGCCGCCUGGAAUUAUUUAAAAAAAGAGACUAGUAUUGAGAUGGCAGAGUUUGCAACAGUUAGAUAAAAGAUGAAACUGGGGGAACGUGGCUUGGAUGCCGAACGGAGAGGCUGCUGACUUCUGGAGCUCCCACUGGAGUCUCUGCUGUUACCAUCCCCGCGGCUGCCUCCGAAUACAUUCCCAUCUAUCCUUUAUUAUGAACUGCUGGGUCACCCUCAGGACUCCAGUUGAUUGCCCUCUACUGCCACCUUGUGGUCACAUGGAUAAAUUUGUUACUACACAAACUCCAGCCAGGGUGGCUCGCACUAGGACUUCCAAGAAAGGUGAUAUUGGGCUCCCUAAUUAUACAUCUGACUUGGACUCUGCCAGUUCAUCAUUUAAGGCAUUACAUACUAUGAUGUAUGUCCCGGCUCCACAAUCUACUUCCAAUACCUCGGAUGCCCCUUCUUUCUCGUUGUUAUCUGAGGACAUGGUGCUGGCCAUCAAAGAUACUAUGGCUCCAAUUCUACAGCAACAAGCCUUGAAAUUUACCACUGAGGUCAAGGAAUUGAAGUCCCAACUGGAAUCUACCGAAAUUCAAGUGGUGGCAAAUGAUUUGAGGCUUGGAGAGCAUGAACAAGCUAUAUCGGAAUUACAAGAACAGAUGCAAUCUGUCAUUCAACAAAAUCAUCAGUUGCUCAAUAAAGUGGAUGACCUCGAAAAUAAGUCAUGUUGGAAUAAAACUUUUGGGGAUUUUGUAUGCUAUUCCUUAUUUUGUUGUUGAACGAGGACACCACUUGGGCCCACCCAGAGACUCCCCUUGUCCGAGGACUGUUAUAUUUUGUUGCUUGAACUCUGCAUAUAAGGUGGCGCUAUGGGCGGCUGCACGGAAGAUAGGAUGGAAUUCCCAUUGUCUUUUACUUUUCCAUGGCUACUACGCUGAGGUUUCUCGGGCUCUAAAGGAUAUGGCCUAAUUCUGCUCCAGAUUGAUCCGUUCUCAAACAAAAUUUGCCCUCUUAUUCCCUGCCCAUUUAUGCAUCUUCAAUGGCAAAGACUUCAAGGAAUUCUCCAUGGCCCAAGAUGCACUGGCAUAUCUGGAUGAAAGUGCCUCCGCACCCUCUGAUACUUGACGUACAAUGCUCUGGGAUAAGGGUGCCGUGUGUCUUGUUGUUAAGUAUAUUGCCCUGCUUAGCCAUGUUUUCUGAUUGCUGUGUCAUUGCUCCCUCUCUGCUAGACUGUGUUUUUUAUGUUACCUGUUUUCUUUGUAGGGAGCUUUCCUUUCAUGUUUUUUCUUUUUUUAUCUGUUCUACCUUUUGAUCAAAGUUUCUUUUACAUUAUUGGUAGCGUAUACACAGGGGUCAUUUUCCCAUUGAAUCAUUAAAGUUUUUGAUAGGUUCCAUUAAUCUUUGUCAUAUUGGCCCAUCUCCUUUUUGUGGGUAUUUUAUAUGUGCCUAACAUUAUCCAGGUCUGUUGUACUUCUUUGUUUGAUAUAGCAGUAUGAUGCAUGCUAUAUGUACUGCAUCUAUCUUCUUUUCUUAUGCUUCUUCUCUUUUUUUAUUUCUUGCUUCUUUUUUUCCCUUCUUUCUGUUUCCUAUUGUCUAUUUUUCAAGGUCUUUGUCACAUGCUUUUAUUGAUUGCAAUAUUUUGUAUUAUGAUACAUCUCAAUCUACCUUUGGGGGUCUCCCACCUGAUGACCUCAUUACUGACUUAAUUAUUUUAUUUACUUAUUAUGUCUUUAAUUAAAUUUUGCUCCUGGAAUGUUCAGGGCAUUAACUCCCCUGCCAAAAGAUGUAAGCUUCUCACAUAUCUUAAUUUAAUGAAAGCAGAUUUAACUUUUCUGCAGGAGACUUACCUCACUGCUUCAGAGCACAUUAAACUCUCCAUGCUCCAACAAAAAAUCCUCUUACUCUUCAAAAUCCAGAGGCAUAGCUAUACUGGCAUGAAAGUCUUUGCCUAUCACGUUGUGGUAUCUCAGGUGGUGGUCCCUGGAGGACGUUAUAUACUGAUUAUAGUUGAUUUAUUUGGCUCUCAAUAUACCCUUUGUAAUAUAUAUGCCCCCAAUUCUUAUGAGAAAUCCAUUUUCCUUACCAUUAUUAAUUUAUUGUAUUCUUAUCAGGACAUGUGUAUUGUACUUGGUGGCGACUUCAACAUAGUUGCUUCUAGGUUUAUGGACCAUCAAUCGCAGCCCCCUGUUACUUUUAGACAAAAAAAGCUAGAUGUCCAAUACAUUAGCACACACUUGCAUCUGACUGACAAUUGGUGUUUGCACUAUCC